rnacentral:rRNA from 1 species
UACGUAGGGUGCAGGCGUUAAUCGGAAUUACUGGGCGCAAAGCGUGCGCAGGCGGUCUUUUAAGUCAGAUGUGAAAUCCCCGGGCUUAACCUGGGAACUGCGUUUGAAACUGGAAGGCUAGAGUGUGGCAGAGGGGGGUGGAAUUCCACGUGUAGCAGUGAAAUGCGUAGAUAUCAGGAGGAACAUCGAUGGCGAAGGCAGCCCCUUGGACCUGUACUGACGCUCAUGCACGAAAGCGUGGGGAGCAAACAGG